GUUCAAAUCCUCAGGAGGCGAUUUUGGUGAGAGCCAGCAUAGCAGUCACGCUCUAAAGAGACUGGCAAGUUAGGAAAUCCUUGCUUAGACCUCAAGUCAAAUAUAGCCAAUUAAACUGUACUGCAGCUUAUUGUAAAUGGCACUUUUUAAAGUUUAAUUUCCAGUUGUUCAUUGCUAGUGUAUAAAAAUACAAUGUAUAUUUGUUUAUUGAUGUUUUCUUCUGUAGCUUUUCUAAAUUCUUGUAUUUGUUCUAGUAGGAUUUUUUUUUGGUAGAUUGAUUCCCUAUGAUUUAUGUACCUGAUAAUGUCAUCUCUAAAUAAAGAAAAUUUUACUAUAAAAACGUAAAUAAAGUGUAGUGCAGCUUAGCACGGGAGCAGGGUCGGCCAGAACCUUCUCUUUGGAGAUGGCCUCAUGCCCUUAUUGUGCUGCCGUUCCUUCUGUAAAACCCAGCUACUUCUCACCUAGGCCUCCUCACUUGGAUGUAAUUAGUAGCUCCCACCCCCACCACAGCAGUGUAUCCAUCCCUGGAUAACACUUACUGUGUUGCAAUGUAAUUUAUUUUAGUAUAGGUCUAUCACCCACACUAGACUCUGAGAUCUUCAGAGGUUAAUCUUUGAUUCUCUAGCACUUACCAUGGCACCUCACAUACAGCAAGCAAAACAAAUAUCUGAAUCCCCACACCAUUUAUUGAAUCCAUAAACUCAAGAAGAAAAGGAAUAUGCUGUAAUCGAUGAGGAGUCUGAAACCUCUCACCAUGGGUGUGUCUAAAUUCAGAGGCAGCAUCUGGACCUACACACCCAUCCUGCCAGUUCCCCAGAAUACUUUUGCAUUCUGCCGGCUGCCCAAGAAGUCCAAUACCCAGAGGCAGGGGAGGUUACAUACUAGAAGCAGGAGCCAGAGUCAUCCUUAAAUCAAAAUGCUGAGUCAGUUUCACUAGUGGCCCUCCCUCCCCUAUUCUUAGCAACUAGAGAGAGGUGUUCAUCUAAUCAAAUAACUUAUUCCUGACAUGCAAAUUUGUUUAUUUUGUGGUUAGUUGUGGGCUAAAACCAUUAGCAAGUUGCUUUUAUUUUUAUGUAAUAAAAUGAUGGCAAAAUAUAUAACGUAUUUGAAGGCAUUUGCAUAAGUAAUCUUGAAGGCAUUUGCAUAAGAAGCAUCGCUGAGAAUCUGGAAGUUAAAGGAAAUAAAAAAGCUGAGAAUCUAUCUGGAAGUUAAAGGAAAUAAAAAAGGUCACAGAUUCUACAAAUUCACACAACUUACUUGUAGAACAAACCCUCAGGUCCUCUGUCAGAGCCUAUUUACUCUAAUUUUAGCACAUUUCAAAUGGGCGUGGUAGUGUUUAAAUGGUUUCCCAGCCCACAGUAAGUCAGAGGUAGCAAAUUAGAUAAGAGAUGGAGGAAGCACUCUGAGGCUUCAAGAAGUGACAGCUGACAGGCUAGCUGUGCGUAAAGAGACUGAAAAACCCUAUAAAAAGCAGGUAGAACUCAAAAAAAAAUUUGGUGCAGGUGCAAUUACUCCCAGAUGUCAUGCAUAGUGCAAAAAUGAUGUUUACAAUGAUGACCCUGAAUUAUUGAGAAAGGUUAAGUAUGUCCAGGUUAAGACAUUUAGAGGAUAUGUGUAAUACAUUUUAGUAUGCUUUCCACUAAAAAUUCAAAAAUGAAAAACAGCACUGGCAUUUGAACAUAGAAGUUUUAGUUUUCUAAACCACUGACUGUCCCUCCUGUCGGACAAACUAGGCAUCACUGAAUUUAGAAUUUUAAAAUAUCAACAUUUAAAAAAGGUGGUUUUAUAUUUGUUUGGAGUUUUCAAUAUGGAAUCUCUGAACGAGCAUAAGAAACCCGAUUUUAAGACAAACGUACAACUCCUAGAAUAGCAUAUUUUUAAAGUACAUGCUGCGCAUGUUUUCUAGUAUAAAUCCCAUCUUAAUCACACAAAAUAUGUGAUAAUUUCCCACGUCAAUCCCUUACUUAAAUUCUUCUAUGAAAAACUAGAACUUCCAUGGGACUUUAGCAUGCACUGUAAAUCCAUCUUGAACUUGUUUAAAAUAACAGUGAGAACAAUGGGUGGGUCUAAAUAUAUUGAGCUGAGGGUCCAAUAGGUUAAGAAUUUUUGUUUAAUGAAAAAUAUCAGGUUGCUACCUGAAGUAAAAUACCAUGAUCACAACAGUACAGCCAGCUUUUGGCAAUAUAAUGGUCUUAAGUCAUUCAUGAGAGCUCUGUUCAUUUCUAGCUAAUGUAAAAGUCCUUCGUGUGUUUGCCCAGCCAUGUCUCUCCAGAGGCUCCACUGGCAAUCACUUUCCAUGGAAAGGUUAAGAAUUGACCUGUGACAUAGAAAGGAGUAGGCUGAGCCUCCUUUUACAUAGCUAUUAAAGUGUUGUUUCUAGUGCCUUGAAAACGUGCUUAAGGUUAGCUCUUUGGAGGGGAGGGAAGGGCCAUUUUUUUUCAAUUCAAUAUAAAGUUUGCUAAGAAAUGUGUUAUAUAAAAUUAAUCUUUUUAAAGAUUAUGUAAAAUAUAUGUAUGUAAAAUUAAAUUUUUAUGAGUAUAAUACUAUACUCAUAAAAACAUUGACUCAAGAUUCAUAUUUGCCUGAAGUUGGAAAAUCAUUUUAGCUGAAAUUUCACCACUACAAGUAUAGAAGCCUCUUUAGUGAAUUAUGACUUCAGCCUUUUAAUUCAUUAAAAUAAAUCAAUGACUAAAAUAAAGUUUUUUCAGAUUUUCAGAUACAAUAUAGACAAUAUUAUUUUUGCAUUUCUGUUCUAACUUUAUCUUACCAUGUUACCAUAUGGGCACUUGGACUAAAUAACUGACUUGUAAAAUCUGGCCCAACUCUGAAGAUUUUUUUAUCUCAUUAUACCAAAAUUAUACACAUGCUAAAAACACUGUAUUAUCCUCUGAUUCACUUUUAAUCCUUUUUGGUUAUGAAACUAAUAUUACUACAGUAGUGGCAUCAAAAUAUAGCUCAAAAUAUUUGAAAUGCUGUUUUUCCCAUUAUUCUGAUUCAGAUAAUUUUUCUAAAGUUCAAUAAAUUAACAAUGCUGAAAAAUCCUACAUAGUUUUCUAGUGUUGAUUUCAAUUUCCUUUGUUCUAUGGUUUGUUACGAAGCUUCAUGGGGGCUGCUCAAUCAAGUUCAGCUUACUUGGUCCAAGAUACUGCAAUGGGAAGUAGUUGAGUGACUGAGGGAUAUAAUAGAGCUGGCCACUAGUGCUAGUGCUGACUCUAGGUAGCUCUGUGACCUUGGGAAGAUACUUAAUAUCUCUGGGCUUCCUUUCUUUUUUUCCUAUCACGAAAUGCAGGGGACUGGAUGAGCUGUGGCUCCUUCUGGCUUCAUACUGUUAUGACUUGCAGUUCAGUUGCCAUAAAGUCAGCAGAGGGAGCACUUUUUCUACAUCUUAUACAAUCUGACUCUCAUUUAAACAUUUUCAAAAAUCAAGGGGUUUGUGAAGAACAUUCCUGAAACUAAAAGCUGACAAUCCUUCACUGUUUGUAUCAUAUCACAGAUUUGAAUGGAAAUUUGAGAAAAGUCUAGAAAUUAUUUCUGAUCCUGGAAUUCCAUGAUAAAGUCCCAUGACAGAAUUAUUUUAUAAAAAGAAGCCAAAACACUCUCAUAUUAAGCACCCCUUUGUGAUCAUCUAUUUAUACAAGACCCAGUGAAAGAGGAACACCUGACCAUACUAGAGAGGCUAUGUGAUGUCACAGACGAAAACUGAAAAACUUGUCAAUCAUUAAAACAAUAGAAAAUUGGGUCUAACAUAAACAAACCACACAAGUUAAUUGGUAGGUUUUUCUUUUGCACUUUUCAUUAAGAUACAUUGGGAACGAGCAGGUAGACAAAGCCAGAGC
rnacentral:lncRNA from 10 species